AAAAUCCGUCGACUUUAAAAAUCGUGAGGGUUCAAGUCCCUUCUAUCCCCA
rnacentral:tRNA from 1 species